UACAGAGGGGGCAAGCGUUGUUCGGAUUUACUGGGCGUAAAGGGCGCGUAGGCGGCCUCUGCAAGUCGACUGUGAAAUCCCCGGGCUCAACCCGGGAACUGCGUCCGAUACUGGCAGGCUUGAAUCCGGGAGAGGGAUGCGGAAUUCCAGGUGUAGCGGUGAAAUGCGUAGAUAUCUGGAGGAACACCGGUGGCGAAGGCGGCAUCCUGGACCGGCAUUGACGCUGAGGCGCGAAAGCCAGGGGAGCCAAAGCG
rnacentral:rRNA from 1 species